ensembl:lncRNA
GGACUCUGAACACUCACAGGGAUGGUUCUACUCAAAAAUAAUUACAUGCAUGUAUUUCAAGGUAAUGGCAGGCUUAAGUAAAUAGUAAAAUGUAUGUUCUAACUUACAUUAGUAUUCUUAUACAUCCAAAAAAAAUCUUUAUUCAAUCUGGUCUGUAGCAAUUGGAUGGGAUCAAUACCAUGAGAAAGGUGUUACAGCAGAGAUGUGAUGACAGAAGGACUAGCAUGAUAGAAAUGAGCUAUAAAACAGAACAAGAUUGCUCACCCAUAUCAGAAGAUCCUAGGUUUGCAGGGGAAAGCUUCACCAAGACAAGAUCUUCAGAAAGAAAGCCUUCCUCAGUGGCAGUCAGCCCUUAAAUGAGGUCUAAGAGAGGUGCAGCCAGGUUCUACUGGUGGCAUAGCUGAAUUGCCUUCACCUGUGCUCCCAUGGCUGACCGGGUCCUUUCCUCAGGUGCUCAGUCAGUGGUUCAGACUGUGACUCAGGAGUUCCUACUGGUUGUUGUCCACUGAUAUUUUCUGUCUUGAUGGUCUCUUCUCUCAAGCAUUGUUAAAACUCCGCUCAUUUUGGGAACUAAUUGCCACCAGAGUAUAUUUUAUAAGAAGAGAAGAUGCACCUUUUGCUAGGCUUUUUCUCUUCAGUACAAGCCUUGUUUUGAAUAAAUACAAUAUAAUUUAUUACAAGAAAUGGAGCAUUUCUCACAACACAAUGCAAUCAAAAGAAGGAGUAGGGAAUAUUCUCCUAAAUGACUUACAAUUUUUUUUAAGGUAACUCUUAAUUCCAAACUGAUUUCAGUUAGUGGGAAUAAGUUGUUUCAGCUAGCUUUAGAUAGAGCCUCAAAGAUUUAAUUUACUAACACACACAUCUGGCAGGACUUGGUAAGUGGGAUACCUGUGCCUUCCUCACUUAUGCUGAGCUGGUACUUGUGCUGAGCUGGUACUUGUUCUGUGUCACUGGACAAACUGGAAUGUUUUUUAUUGAAGAAAGUAGGAUAACUAUGAGGGUUGUCUUUUUUUUUUUUUUUCCUUUCAACUAGAAGGAACAAAUUAAGUGCUGGAUUGUAAACCAUCUCCCUUUGACCUCUUUUCAUGACUGUGUUUCUGACCUUGACAGGCCCUAUAUCAUUGCACUGCAAUAAAGAAAGAAUGAGAUAUAUAUGACACACAGUGGGUAAAUGGUGCCCAGCCACCUCACAGCAAUUCUUUCAAUGUUCUGCUCUUGUCUCCUCUGCAGGAGUUGAACAAUUAACUCAGUGCCUAUAUCACUAGUGGAAAAAAAAAAAAGUAUUCUCAUUAAUUAAACAAGGAGAGGAAAAUGUUGAGCCCGUUAUCCUGGAAGGUGCAUGCUAUGGAAAUUGUCUUAGUCAAUGCAGUUCUCAGUUUCAAUGUUUUAUGUAUAAAAUCUGUGUGCCUGCCUGAAGCACAGUGAUUGAAACCGAAGGAUAAAUUUAACCACUCUCGUCUUCUCUUCUAGUGACACUGAGACUGGAUGAGUGUGUUUCUCUCUGCAGCCCUAGUGAUGCCCAAUAGUUCAGGUAGAAGAAAAUGGAAAGCUUCCUAAAGAGAUAUUUGAGGACUGUGGGAUGUGGCUUCUCGCUGCAUUUUAAGACAUACCUAGUAUUUGAUGAAAAUUCAGACAUUUUCUGUCGUGUGGUAUGCAUGAGUCCAGUAACAGGACAGGACACACAAGCAGUCUUGAUGAGUGGUCCAGAAUGCUUACGAGUUCUAACAUUAACAGCUGUUGUUACUGGCCUAGAGACUUGUUUUAAUCAUGAGACUGAUGCUUAUCAUACUAUAUGAUACGAAGGGCUGUGGCUUCCUCGGGAAAUGGAGGUAGGCAAGGAAAUAAGCAAUAUGCCCUGAGUCAUCACCUGCUUGUCUUUGAGAAGCACAACAAAGGCAUGGUGCAAGCUGCAUUCACAUCACUGGUAGCGUGUGGAUUCAGGACUCCUUUCUUAAUUCCAUCACCGAUACUUUGCAGAAGACAGGCAAUUAGAUGUGCUUUGAAGAAGUGUUCUAAGAUUAGUUCUAUCAAUAGUAUUUUAAUUUUUUUUUCUGAUAUAUAUAUUUGUUUAUCAGAAUUUAUGAUCAGUGUAUUCAUAAACGGUGUGGAAUGAUACUUUGUUCCAGUUUUUUGCAAAGUUGCUGCUGGGUAACGGAUGAUGCAUAUUUUUGGAAGUUGAAGACCAAUGGUAUUUCUGUCCUGAAUAAAGAGUUGGUCUGGGAUUUUGUAAGCGAAGGUACUUAGCCUAGAAAGACAUUGAAGCAAACACCUUGUUAAUCUUCACUGUACACAUUUUUUCAGAAAAGAUUUGCUGUUAGAAGACUCAGAAGUAAGCAUUUUACAAAAUGAUUAAAAGCAAACUCCACUUCUCAGCAUCCAGUUUAUAAUUCCUCUGUGAUUCACAGAUCCUAUUCAUAUUACUAGUUUGAUUUCCUUAUUAGUUUUCUGACUCAACUGUUUUUUAUUUUCCAGUCUUCCUGUUAUCACCUUAAUUUGCAAAUCUCUGGUGCACUUCCUUAUAGUAGGCUCCAGGGAGACGAAACAAAAAGUAAAAGUAGAAGCCCAAAUCCUGUUCUAUUGCCUACAGAAACUUAUGUAUAAUAUAAACAGUGGUCAUUCCUAUAAAAGAUUUCUGAAGAAAGGCACACAUCUUUGUUAAUGACUAACAUACUGGAGGGCAGGAAUGGGGUAAUACACUGACAUGUGAUAUUUUUGUUGCACAUUAUAUUUGUCUUGUAUGUUACUCAUUGGAGAUAACAAUAAAUGUAGCAGGAAGACACGUUUCCUGACAUGGAACUUGACACAGUGAGGCCAGACGGUCCCAAAUGGAGAAGAAAGGGAUUUGUUGCCCCAGAUGUCCCCUUGAGACUAAAUAAUUCUCAUGUUUUUUAUGUGUGACCUCUGAAACCAUUUGGUUUUAUGGAGUCCAAUCUGUGAUUAAAAUUCAUGUACUGUAGUUAAAUAUAUAUAACUAACGUAAAGAAACAUGUUAUUCUUAGAUAAAUUAGUCAAUUUGGAGUUACGGAUUUAAAAUAGAAGGCACAGAAUUAGGGAGUGUAUGUUUUGAUUCAGCAGUGUUUGAGAGGGUUUGAAAAAUUCUUGUUUCUGGAAACAAUGAGAUACAAAACCUGCUUACAGGUUUUGCAGUCGAUCUCCAGCCAGAAAGGAUUCCUGUCAAGUGAAAUAUUAACCCAGAGGAAUGCAGUUUUCUUAGGGCAGUGAGCUCUUGGCUUCAAGCGAACUUUAAUGCAGAGUUAAAGUGACCAUUUAAAAACAUAUAUGCAUCCAGAGGAUUGGAUGGCUGUCAGACCAGAACAGGAUUAUCCUAUCUUUCAGCUACAGCUUACUUGUUUGUAACUGGUCUGGUUCUGCAAUGCAGAAAGGUAGUUUCCAGCUGUACAGUGGCCAACUGUCUAUGGCUUUGCUUGUGUCCUUGCAGCAGGCAGGUGUUUAUAUUACGCAAACUAUCACAGCAGUUGAUAGCUUUAUCAGUGCUCUGAACAUUUCAGGAUAGAAAGAGCUCAAGGGGUAUUUCCUUCCGUUUUCUUCUCCUGGGGAGUGGAAUCUCUUCUGCAAGUUAUGUUCUUCAUAAGCAGGCUCAGAUUGACACAGAUUUACACAACAGAAAAGGCAGCUUGCUGAGGGUGAUAGGUAUAUGGUCCCAAGUCCCAUUCCUUCAAAGCACAUGCUAAAUCUGCUAGCAAGUGCCAAGUUCAAGCUACAUCUAUUGAACCAACCGAUCAGAUACUUGUUACUACAGGAAAUGCUUUUUAGGCCCCAGGAGGCAUUUGUGUUAGAAUGCCAAAAAACCAGCAGAACAACUCAUUCCUCCUGACAAGUGAGAAAGGCUAGGCCUCCAAACUACAAUCCAAACCAUUAUGUUCAGCAAAACUAGGUGUUUCCCUGAUUUAUUUAUUUAUUUAUUUUGUUCACACGGAAAUUCAUAUACUAAAUAUAACUUUUCGUCCUUGGCUGUGAUCAACUCUGAUGUGCUUUGCAGGUGUUCCUAUGUACAAAUGGAGGAGGCUCGUGUGUGCUGGAAGUCACAACUGUGGAUAAUUUAAAAAAAAAAAAAAGAAGAAGGAAAAGAAAACUUUUGUUUGUUUGUCUGCAGAGUUUGUUUCUUUGUCUUAGCACCCUUUCCUCCCCAGUAGCUCAAUAACACAGCCUAAGUAUAACUGUACAAUACUGUUUGAAGUGUCCCUUUCUUAUCCAAUCAAAUCCAUUCUUGGAUCUAAUCUGGAACUUAAAACCAAACAGUCUUCAAAUAAAG